rnacentral:rRNA from 1 species
CAGCAUGAACUUAGCUUGCUAAGUUUGAUGGCGACCGGCGCACGGGUGCGUAACGCGUAUGCAACCUACCCAUAACAGGGGGAUAACACUGAGAAAUUGGUACUAAUACCCCAUAACAUCAAGACCGGCAUCGGUUCUGGUUGAAAACUCCGGUGGUUAUGGAUGGGCAUGCGUUGUAUUAGCUAGUUGGUGAGGUAACGGCUCACCAAGGCUACGAUACAUAGGGGGACUGAGAGGUUUUCCCCCACACUGGUACUGAGACACGGACCAGACUCC